UAUAUAUAAAUUCUGCUGUGAAUAGAUGUAGCUGAUAUUUUUGUAGAAUUUAUUGAAACAUGGCUCUACUGAAUAGUUUUCUGAUGAAUUAUGUGAUGUUAUUUUUCUUUGUUCUCUCUUUUGUUACAGGAAAAAUAAUAUAAGCUCAUAAAUUCAUAUUGCAAACUUAAUACUAACGACUGGAGGUGAUUGUAUGCGAUGAAGUAUGGAAUAUAGAGCAAUAAGAUACAAACGAAGCUAGAAAUUCAUGAUGUCUAUAAAUUUAAUUAGACAAGUUCGAAAGAAAAUGAAUACAUUUCCUUAAAUAUUAGUAGUAGUAUAAUUCUAUCUGAAUAUUAUUUCUGAAUAUGUAGUGAGGAUACUGAAAUUCUGAAGGAAUUUAUUUCCAUGAAAAAAUUGAAAAGCAUUAAUUACCAUUUUUGGCAGAUAAGUAUAAUCAACUCUCAUCUGUAAUAGUUGCAUCUGUAAUAAUAAUAACAAGCAAUCAGUCUACAGUGACAGCAAUAAGUGAGUAACAAAAUGAGACCUGGAACCAUGAAAAUUAGGGAAACGUGUCCAGAAUACCAUAGGCAUUGCUUAAAUAUGAUCAGAAUGAACCCAGGAAUUAGAUAUUUUGGAGUCGUGACGAAAAUAUUUGUUUAUUAUGCGUAUUUUUAUUCAAGUAUGUGUAUUCCUGGCUCGUUUGAUUACCGGAGAAUAUUUAAGAUUUUGGAAUAAUAAUUCUAAUGUAGGUCACAGGACUCUAAAGAAAACCUCACGUCGAUAUGACAUUAUACAUCACUCACCAUUCAGCAUCGUCGAAUGUUUGAUGACAUUGCGAUGCAACAAUAGAUAUCAGAAAGGAUCGGUUUUUUGAUAUUAUUACCCAUAUUAAAACAUCUGGAAAAUUCUGUUCUCUUCUUCUUUCUACUUGCCGAUUUUGGAUGCUUAUUUAAGAAUUCAUAAAUCCGAAUUUUAUUCAGAAUUUCUCUUGGAAAAAAAAAAUGGCGAGUUAUUCUGAAUUUCUAAUACCUAUGACAUAGACUACAGGUGCGUAAUCCAAAAACAUGUUAUCUCGGAUAUUCUCCUCUCUCUCCUGAUUCAGUAGAAAAUACUGUACAGUGUUCGGUAGAAUUAUAAAAAUUAAUAUGGGAAGGAAUCGCAUAACGUGUUCUAUGUUUUUGUGAAGCAUCUUUAUUUUCUUUCAGGACUUGUUCUCUACAGAGCAAUGUUUAUAUAUUAGAAAACUAGAUUAACAGUAAUUAUUAUUAUUUUUAUGUCCCGGUUAUUAUUAAUAAACAAUUUUGAUUGACGCUAAUUUUCUAGAAAAUUAUUAAGAUGAAAGUAACCC
rnacentral:lncRNA from 1 species